CCAACGAUUGACGCUACUGCUCGACAUCAUCUCAUAUUUCAAACCCUAAAUACCAAAGCUUUCUUUCAUUGUUCUUUGCAGAUUCGCAUAAACCACAAAGAUGGAAUUGGAUCCCUUAUGUUCUUUUCUCUAUUACUGAUAUCUUUCACGCUGUCCCUUUUUCUCCAAACACCAAACCAAACUCUUGCUGCAUCUGGUUCUUCCUUCGCGAUUCAUCAAUAUUAAUUACAAAGGUUGAAGUGUAGUGUCAAUUCCUCCUUCAAGUCAGCCAUACGAGGUACCUUUGUAUUUCUGUUAUCCAAGAAUGAAGGUUAUUCAUACAUCAAAAGCUUUGCAGAAAAAAUAAGUAGAAUCACUUUGAAAGAGAGAAUACGAGAGAUAGAAAAAGAGAGCCUGGCCGAGCCACGGUGGGUAUUGUGGAUAUGCAGCCUUGUGAGUCAACCUGACCCAACUUCACACGGCUUGGCUGAUGCUUCUAGGGCACUUCCUAUUAAUUUGAGUUUUGGUGUUAUAAACGUAUAGAGGUACUUGCUCGAAGUAGCUUUGCCCUUUCGUAUUUGGAAGAGCCGAAACAACCCAGGUUUGUUUUGUUGGGUAGUGGAUUAAAGUGGGUUUGGUUGAAACAUGCCGAUGUAAGUAAAUUUGUAUUACAACAAAUGGAAGAGGAUAAAUAUAAAAAAAAUAAUUUGUAAGUAGAUGCAGGGGAAAUCAUUACAAUUUUGGAAACUUACAAGGCACCGAUCAGUACGGAAAGACCAUAAUCGAAAUGCUCUUAUCUGAGGCACAACCUGAUAAAAUCUGUUCUCAAAUGAAUUUAUGCACUUUUGACGGUUCGCGAGAUGUUAGGCCAGUCUCACCUUGCAAGAAGUCUUCUGCUGGAUUAAAUGACGGGAUUUGUACAUUCUGUGAGAUGGUUGUUGUUUGGAUGCAAAGCCAACUUAAACGAAACCAGACUGAAGAUAGCAUAAU